GCACUCCUCCACCCCUGAGGUCAUUCCUUCACUGUCAUUGGAGACUACUUCUUCAGGAUUCCAGCUCAUCCUGACGACCAGCCGGGAUAUCCAACCUUGUGGACUGAACAACUACUGGAUUCUUAGACUUCCAAUCAGUAGAAAGCCAUUACCAGACUAGCUGGACCAUAGUCGGUAAAGAGUACAGUGGGAAGGAUACAGUUUUAUCCUUAAGCAGACUCCUACUAAAAGAACAGCAUACUUGGAUUGGACACAGCACAGGAGACAGCACUUUAUUAUUUCUAAGGUGUUAAUAUAUAAAUGAGCCAGUGCACAGUGAAGUCUACAGACUGCGCCAUCUUCAGACUAGAAAGUGUUAAGCAAGCCAGAGGGGCCUCCAUCCCACAAAGCCUACUAAAGCAGAAGAGGGAUCCGUAGAGAACUUUGGAGAUCCAGUGAGUGGCAGACCCCGUGUCAAGAAGAUAAAGUGGAGAGGAAUUGAACAUGUUGCUGCGUAGAAGACCAGAGGAGGAUGUCUGGUGAUGUGGGAAGAGGUGUAUUAUUAUAUAUGCAUAUUAGAGAUGGGGAAGCCUCAAGUCAGAAAACACCUCCAUAAAAUGGAGUUAUACAUAGAUCCCCUCCCUUGAACAAAUUGUAGCCUUUUUUGAUAAGGCAUCUCAGAGUGGAGUCUAUGGGAUGCUCCCAGAAGUCUAGUCUCCUCCUUUAAAAACUCUCUGUCCAGGAACCCUGAUGGCCAUAAGCGAUCUCUCACAGCCUGAUUAACGGAGUUCCUUAUAAUUCAUUAAAUAGAGCCAGGUCCCACAUAUGGCCUGCUCUGGAACCAAGCCACUGGUGAGGGACCAAUCUACCCUCAGAGGGUGUAUUUCUGCACAGAUGAAGAUGCUAUAGGCUGAUUCCAUUGCCAGAUAGAGACAAUGGAAGAAUCCCAGUACUUGCUACAGGGCUUGAUGGCUUUCAAAGGGAUGCUUCGAUAUGUUUCAAGUCUCUCUGGAACAACCCUGAGGAGGGCCUGAGUUAUCAGAAUAUCAUGAUUUCCCUGCCGCACUCAGCUGAAGUUAUC
rnacentral:lncRNA from 1 species